GGUCGUCAGACUCAUAGAACAGGUAAUGGCUCCAAAACAGCCGAAUACAGGCCUUUUUGUUGGGCUGAACAAGGGCCACGUAGUCACCAAGAAGGAGUUGGCCCCACGACCCUCCGAUCGGAAAGGAAAAACAAGUAAAAGGGUUCUUUUUGUCCGGAGUUUGAUCCGGGAAGUUGCUGGGUUUGCCCCAUAUGAGAAGAGAAUC
rnacentral:misc_RNA from 1 species